rnacentral:rRNA from 1 species
UAGGGGUUACCGGAACAAAUGGUGGAGCGGUGAAAUGCGUAGAUAUCAUUUGGAACGCCAAUGGCGAAACAGGUAACUGGGGGACAUGCUGACACUGAGACACGAAAGCCAGGGGAGCAAACGGGAUUAGAUACCCCGGUAGUCCUGGCCCUAAACGAUGUCCACUAGAUCGUAGUCGCUCUGACGUGAUUAUGGUCGAAGCAAAAGUGCUAAGUGGACCGCCUGGGAAGUACGGUCGCAAGGCUAAAACUCAAAGGAAUUGACGGGGGCUCACACAAGCGGUGGAGCAUGUGGUUCAAUUCGAAGCAACGCGCAGAACCUUACCUGGGCUUGACUCGCUCGGAUUAUCUCUAUGAAAGUAGAGUAGGCUCUUCGGGGUACAACGAGUACAGGUGCUGCAUGGCUGUCGUCAGCUCGUGUCGUGAGAUGUCGGGUUAAGUCCCUUAACGAGCGAAACCUUUACCCUUAGUUGCCAUCAUUAAGUUGGGAACUCUAAGGGGACUGCCGGUGUCAAACCGGAGGAAGGUGGAGAUGACGUCAAGUCCUCAUGGCCUUUAUGCCCAGGGCCACACACGUGCUACAAUGGCGUUCAUAAAGCGACCCUAAACAGCAAUGUCAUGGAAAUCGCAAAAAUAACGCCCCAGUUCAGAUUGGAGGCUGCAACUCGCCUCCAUGAAGUUGGAAUCGCUAGUAAUCGCGGAUCAGCUACGCCGCGGUGAAUGUGUUCCUGAGCCUUGUACACACCGCCCGUCAAGUCAUGGGAGCCGGAAAUAGCCGAAGUGGCCACAACACAGUGGUCCCUACGCUAGGUUCGGUGACUGGGACUAAGUCGUAACAAGGUAACC